GUGCUUGCAUCAGCAGCACACACACUAAGAUUGGAAGGAUACAGUGAUCAGCAUGGCCCCUGGGCAAGGAUGACAUGCAAACUCAUAGUGUCCCACAUUUUUUU